UACAGAGGGUGCAAGCGUUAAUCGGAUUUACUGGGCGUAAAGCGUGCGUAGGUGGCUGCGUAAGUCGGAUGUGAAAUCCCUGGGCUUAACCUGGGAACUGCAUUCGAUACUGCGCGACUAGAGUACGGUAGAGGGAGGCGGAACUCCGGGUGUAGCGGUGAAAUGCGUAGAUAUCCGGAAGAACACCGAUGGCGAAGGCAACCUCCUGGGCCUGUACUGACACUGAGGUACGAAAGCGUGGGUAGCAAACAGG
rnacentral:rRNA from 1 species